CCUACGGGAGGCAGCAGUGGGGAAUAUUGCGCAAUGGGCGAAAGCCUGACGCAGCAACGCCGCGUGGGGGAUGAAGGCCUUCGGGUUGUAAACCUCUUUCAGCAGGGAAGAAGCGAAAGUGACGGUACCUGCAGAAGAAGCACCGGCUAACUACGUGCCAGCAGCCGCGGUAAUACGUAGGGUGCAAGCGUUGUCCGGAUUUAUUGGGCGUAAAGAGCUCGUAGGCGGUUAGUCACGUCGGAUGUGAAAUCCCGGAGCUUAACUCCGGGCCUGCAUUCGAUACGGGCUGACUCGAGUGUUGUAGGGGAGACUGGAACUCCUGGUGUAGCGGUGAAAUGCGCAGAUAUCAGGAAGAACACCGGUGGCGAAGGCGGGUCUCUGGGCAACUACUGACGCUGAGGAGCGAAAGCGUGGGGAGCAAACAGGAUUAGAUACCCUGGUAGUCCACGCCGUAAACGGUGGGCGCUAGGUGUGGGGAACAUUCCACGUUCUCUGCGCCGCAGCUAACGCAUUAAGCGCCCCGCCUGGGGAGUACGGCCGCAAGGCUAAAACUUAAUGAAUUGACGG
rnacentral:rRNA from 1 species